AUUGAACGCAGGCGGCAGGCCUAACACAUGCAAGUCGAACGAGUGGCGGACGGGUGAGUACUGUCUGGGAAACUGCCCGAUGGAGGGGGAUAACUACUGGAAACGGUAGCUAAUACCACAUACCAUCGGAUGUGCCCAGAUGGGAUUAGCUAGUAGGGGGGGUAAUGGCUCACCUGGGCGACGAUCCCUAGCUGGUCUGGGAGGCUGAGCAGCCACACGGGAACUGAGACACGGUCCAGACUCCUACGGAAGGCAGCAGUUGGGAAUAUUGCACAAUGGGCGCAAUCCUGAUGCAGCCAUGCCGCGUGUAUGAAGAAGGCCUUCGGGUUGUAAAGUACUUGCAGCGGGGAGGCGUUACCCGCAGAAGAAGCACCGGCUAACUCCGUGCCAGCAGCCGCGGUAAUUC
rnacentral:rRNA from 1 species